rnacentral:rRNA from 1 species
UACGAAGGGGGCUAGCGUUGUUCGGAAUCACUGGGCGUAAAGAGCUCGUAGGCGGUCUGUCGCGUCUGCUGUGAAAACUCGGGGCUUAACCCCGGGCCUGCAGUGGGUACGGGCAGACUAGAGUGCGGUAGGGGAGACUGGAAUUCCUGGUGUAGCGGUGAAAUGCGCAGAUAUCAGGAGGAACACCGGUGGCGAAGGCGGGUCUCUGGGACGGUACUGACGCUGAGACGCGAAAGCGUGGGGAGCAAACAGG